GCCAAUUUAAUUUAAUUAAAAUAAAAAAUUCCAAAUUUUUCAAUAAGAGUAGUCAGUCUUUUAAUUGGUAU
rnacentral:tRNA from 1 species